rnacentral:lncRNA from 1 species
CAAGAACUUCUGCUCUUUCUCUUUCCCGGAGACACGGUUCAUGGCCGUCACUGCUUAUCAGAACCAUAGGAUUACUCAGCUAAAAAUUGCAAGCAACCCAUUUGCCAAAGGCUUCAGGACCACAGACCCACAUGCUUGGUGAGUGUCAGUCAUUCAACCAGGUCUGAAUAUGGUUUGAUUGUUAAAAAAAUAAAAUAACUGAAAAAGCUCUCCUGUCAAAAGACCAGUCAUUAUCAUGACAAGAUCACAGUGUGUCUCUAUCGCUGUUAUCAGCUGGUAAAUAGUGAUAAGCUAGCAGUCUGGAUGUUAGCUAAUCCUUGACCUUUGUAUGCAAAAGGGGGUUCAAACAUUGUAGGUUAAAGAUCACAGGGUAAAACUGAAGGGGAUGCGAUAACGGUGUACAUGUGUGUUUGCACAGACAGUAUAGGUCUGUCUAUACCAUAUAUCUAUGUGUACGUGACUGUGUAGUGGUGCUGUAUGACUACUUACUUGUGUAUGUGUUUGUGUAUGUGUUUGUUUCUGUGUGUGCAUUGUGGGUAAUGCAAGCCCCCUCACAGUGUGGUGUCCACCAGAGGGCAGAGCUGAGCCCCUCACCACCAAACCUGGAGAGCAGAGAAGCAGUGGUUUAAAGACUCCAGCCAGACAGGAAGGCCCAGGCCCAGUGUUGGUAGAGCAGUGUGAGCUGUUCCACCACAGUAAGGUCUCUGUUGGACUGAAGAAAGAUGAGAACAGUUUAUUAUCGCCUGCCUCCUAUCUCCAUCUCUCUUACUGGGAUUGUACAGGGGCCAACCUGUCAUAGUGCAUAAGUAAAAGGAUGAUGUUUUACAUUGAAUUUGACUUCUGUUUGCGUCCUCUUUUGAUAUCAUACAGUUUGUGGUCUGAACUAAAGUUAUAGUGUGUUACCUUAAAAUCAUAAUGUCUAUUGUUAUGACAGCAACCAUCAACAACACUGCACAGUGGUGAAGUGUGACAAGGCCGUGACAACACAUAGAGUACUGGGUAUCUAAAUUUCCACUGUGAAUAAACAAGUCAUGUUAUUUUCCA